GGAGAGGUGGCUCAGAGGUUAAGAGCACUGACUGCUCUUCCAGAGGUCCUGAGUUCAAUUCCCAGCAACCACA
rnacentral:tRNA from 1 species